rnacentral:rRNA from 1 species
ACGUAGGUGGCAAGCGUUGUCCGGAAUUACUGGGCGUAAAGGGUGCGUAGGCGGAUAUUUAAGUGGGAUGUGAAAUACCUGAGCUCAACUCGGGUGCUGCAUUCCAAACUGGAUAUCUAGAGUGCAGGAGAGGAGAAUGGAAUUCCUAGUGUAGCGGUGAAAUGCGUAGAGAUUAGGAAGAACACCAGUGGCGAAGGCGAUUCUCUGGACUGUAACUGACGCUGAGGCACGAAAGCGUGGGUAGCAAACAG